rnacentral:tRNA from 1 species
UACAUACUAGCCGAAUUGGUACAGGCGCUUGAUUUAAGCUCAAGAUAUACAGGUUCAAAUCCUGUGUGUGAAC